rnacentral:piRNA from 1 species
AGACUGACUUAGACUUAGGAGAGG